AAAAGAAUAAAGUAAAAAUGAACUAACUAAAACAAUGGUAAAAUAAAAAAUAAAAUCAACUAACUAAAUAAAUAAAUGCAGAAUAUUACGUAAUGAAAAAAAAUGAUAAGAAUAACAGUAAAAAUGAGAACUACCAAAAGAAAAUAAACUAAAAACAAAUAAAAAAAUAAUUAAAGACAAAUAAAGAAAGAAAGAAAGAAAGAAAGAAAAAAAGGGAAGGGGUGGUGAGGUGAGGUGAGGGAGCUAUUUCAGGUUGCAGUGGAGUAGGUGCGAGGGUCGUAAGGAGAGGCUACUGUGGCUGGUUGUAGGGUGUUGGAGAGGUGAGGGAGGAGAGAAAUAAGGGGGAAAGGGGAAAGAAAAGGGAGAGGAGAGAGGGACAACUUGGGUGAGGGAGAGGUGAAGGGACGACGAUGGCGGUGGGGUUGGUUGGUGGCUGGAUGGUGUGAAGGGGAAAGGGGAACAGCGGCGGUUAGGGUUGGUAGGGAAGUUGGGGAAAAACAUAGUGAAAAAAAUAAAAAAUAAAAAAAGUAAGGUUUUAAAUGGGGGACACGAUCGUGUAAGGCCCGUGUUGCGCUACACGGCCAUGUCACAUGCUCGUGUAAGGCGUUUUAGCCCAUGUGUGAUAAAAAUAUAGGCCCAGUCUUUACACAGGCACAGGCACGCCCGUGUCUCUAG
rnacentral:lncRNA from 1 species